rnacentral:snRNA from 1 species
UGGCAUCAUCGGUAACGUAAUCGUAAGAC